rnacentral:rRNA from 1 species
CCUACGGGAGGCAGCAGUGGGGGAUAUUGCACAAUGGGGGGAACCCUGAUGCAGCGACGCCGCGUGGGUGAAGGAGCGUUUCGGCGCGUAAAGCCCUAUCGGCAGGGAAGAAGAAGGACGGUACCUGACUAAGAAGCUCCGGCUAACUACGUGCCAGCAGCCGCGGUAAUACGGAGGGGGCAAGCGUUAUCCGGAUUUACUGGGUGUAAAGGGGGCGCAGACGGCAGCGCAAGCCAGGAGGGAAAGCCCGGGGCCCCACCCCGGGACUGCUCUUGGAACUGCGCGGCUGGAGUGCAGGAGGGGCAGGCGGAAUUCCUGGUGUAGCGGUGAAAUGCGUAGAUAUCAGGAGGAACCCCGGUGGCGAAGGCGGCCUGCUGGACUGCGACUGACGUUGAGGCCCGAAAGCGUGGGGAGCGAACAGGAUUAGAUACCCGUGUAGUC